GGAGGGGAGCCCGCGGCCUGGGUUUCCGCGCGCGCCGAGACCCGGGCGCAGAGCGAGUGCGUCCCCACCAGCCUGGCCGCCGCGGGAACUCGGGGACCGGGAGGGCGGGGGUUAGCGGGAGGAAAGGGUAAGCUGAAGAGGGGCUGGGAACGGGAGGGAGGCUCGGGGCGAACGGGCCGUCGCGUUCAUUUCCAUAAGAAAGCUGAAAUCGCAGUUGGAAGCAGGAUUUCUCGCCCCUGCAGCCCUUCCCCCAUACCCGGUUUUCUGCAAGAAGCGGGCUCCAGAGCUCAGAGCCCGAAGUGUGUGCUCUGGUCUUUGAUGAUGUUGAUAAAAUGUGGUUUCAAAUGUUGUCCCGAAGAGGCCGGUUUCCUGUCUGUAUGUGGAAUGGAAGGACCGUGCCGGGUGAGUCCAGAACGCCGGGGAGCGGACAGGAGGAGCAGGGCUGAGGAGAGGGAGGGCGCAGCCGGCGGGCGCAGGGCAUCCCUGCAGGGGAAGUUCUCCAGGGGGUUUUGAAAGGGGGAGCCAGGUUGAAGCCAAGUUUCCCGAGCAAGGAAGAGUGUGUGUGUGUGUGUGUCUGUGUGUGUGUGUUCGGGGGUGGGGAGCGCGAUGAGGGAAGACGUCACGAAAGCCCCAGAACCCAGGCGGCCCGCGCGUGGGAAGGUCUGGCAGGUCUUGUCACCUCCCUCUUCAAAGAGCGGGGGAAACUUUCGCUGGCCGUCGCUGACCCUCUUCCUGCGAAGGAAUAAAGUGAACUUGCCCAGAUACUGGAUUCCA
ensembl:lncRNA LINC01159 long intergenic non-protein coding RNA 1159